AGAGUUUGAUCCUGGCUCAGAUUGAACGCUGGCGGCAUGCUUUACACAUGCAAGUCGAACGGCAGCGGGGGCUUCGGCCUGCCGGCGAGUGGCGAACGGGUGAGUAAUGCAUCGGAACGUGCCCAUGUCGUGGGGGAUAACGUAGCGAAAGCUACGCUAAUACCGCAUACGUCCUGAGGGAGAAAGCGGGGGAUCUUCGGACCUCGCGCGAUUGGAGCGGCCGAUGUCGGAUUAGCUAGUUGGUGGGGUAAAGGCCCACCAAGGCGACGAUCCGUAGCGGGUCUGAGAGGAUGAUCCGCCACACUGGGACUGAGACACGGCCCAGACUCCUACGGGAGGCAGCAGUGGGGAAUUUUGGACAAUGGGCGCAAGCCUGAUCCAGCCAUGCCGCGUGAGUGAAGAAGGCCUUCGGGUUGUAAAGCUCUUUCGGCCGGGAAGAAAUCGUGUUCUCUAACAUAGGACAUGGAUGACGGUACCGGACUAAGAAGCACCGGCUAACUACGUGCCAGCAGCCGCGGUAAUACGUAGGGUGCGAGCGUUAUCCGGAUUUAUUGGGUUUAAAGGGUGCGUAGGCGGUUUGAUAAGUCAGCGGUGAAAUAUUUCAGCUUAACUGGAAGGGUGCCGUUGAUACUGUCGAGCUUGAAUUUAGUUGCUGUGGGUGGAAUGUGUGGUGUAGCGGUGAAAUGCAUAGAUAUCACACAGAAUAUCGAUUGCGAAGGCAGCUCACAAAGCUAAUACUGACGCUGAGGGACGAAAGCGUGGGGAGCGAACAGGAUUAGAUACCCUGGUAGUCCACGCCGUAAACGAUCAUCACUCGCUGUUGGCGAUAUACUGUCAGCGGCCAAGCGAAAGUAUUAAGUGAUGCACCUGGGGAGUACGCCGGCAACGGUGAAACUCAAGGAAUUGACGGGGGCCCGCACAAGCGGUGGAGCAUGUGGUUUAAUUCGAUGCAACGCGAGAACCUUACCUACUCUUGACAUCCAGAGAACUUAGCAGAGAUGCUUUGGUGCCUUCGGGACUCUGAGACAGGUGCUGCAUGGCUGUCGUCAGCUCGUGUUGUGAAAUGUUGGGUUAAGUCCCGCAACGAGCGCAACCCUUAUCCUUUGUUGCCAGCGGUCCGGCCGGGAACUCAAAGGAGACUGCCAGUGAUAAACUGGAGGAAGGUGGGGAUGACGUCAAGUCAUCAUGGCCCUUACGAGUAGGGCUACACACGUGCUACAAUGGCAUAUACAAAGAGAAGCGACCUCGCGAGAGCAAGCGGACCUCAUAAAGUAUGUCGUAGUCCGGAUUGGAGUCUGCAACUCGACUCCAUGAAGUCGGAAUCGCUAGUAAUCGUGGAUCAGAAUGCCACGGUGAAUACGUUCCCGGGCCUUGUACACACCGCCCGUCACACCAUGGGAGUGGGUUGCAAAAGAAGUAGGUAGCUUAACCUUCGGGAGGGCGCUUACCACUUUGUGAUUCAUGACUGGGGUGAAGUCGUAACAAGGUAACC
rnacentral:rRNA from 1 species